rnacentral:lncRNA from 1 species
ACCAAUGAUGAGACAGUGUUUAUGAACAAAAGAUCAUGAUUAAUCCAGUUCUGCACAAAACACUGAGGUCCAUUAGAAGACAAUAGGUCUUGGCUGUUUCAUUCCUUUUAAGAGCUGUUUAAUAUUCCACGGAGCCCUGGGCUCCCCCAGUGUUGCCUGGGUCUGACUUUGCCUCAGUGAAAACUGCCUCGAAUUCUUUCUUGCACCGAUGGGCAGAUGGGCAGUGUCGGAGGAUCGUGUCAUCUGUCCCGUGGCGCUGGUUGGCUUGGUCAAGUCAGUGUUCAAACUAUCUCCUGCUCUUUCAAGGGGAUCUGGGGCUCUAGAAGAUUAGAGGACUUGGAGAGGUUAGUGACUUGCUCGAGGUCGGCUAGGAAGCAAGACCCAGGAUUCCAACUCAGGUCUGUGUGAUUCCUCUGCAAAAUGGAGAGGUGGAAGGAUGGAUGUCAGGUCUGAUGGAUGGAUGGAUGCCUACAUCAAGAUACAUGCAUAGAUGGAGAGAUGGCUGGCUACCUCAUGAAUGCUGGACUGUUGUGAGAAUCAAACGAGAUAAUGUAUGCUGAGGCAUGCUGUGAACACUACGUGCUGGGUACAGGAGAAUGGAGGCUCCAGAGUGAAAUUAAUGACACUUUGUCGAUGAAGAUCUUGAUUGUGACCUCUGUGGAAAAUGAGCCAUGAACCAACCAAUCCUGAGAGAAUAUGGAAGACACUGUCAGUGUUGGAAGAUGGUGGUUUUAUCACUUUUCAUUGCACUGUCUUUAAAACAUGGGCAAAUUGACUAAAAGAAGACUACAGAAGAAAUAAUGGUGAUUGUGAAUUUGAAUGAAAACCAUGUAGCUGGUCUUAUUAUUCUCUAAUCAUGAAGACCAUUAUUGUUAUUUGUGGACUAAGGAGCAGAAAGACUGAUAGUGGACAUAGGCCAGCUGAUUUAAUAAUUUAAGAAAGAACUGUUAUCCUGAGUAAGGAGCAUAGAGACAAAUAUAAAAUGAACGCACUCUACCUGAUUUAAUUAUAGUCUUCUGGUGAAGAUCUUGCUGUUAUCUCUGUGAAUCAGGAGAGAAGAGAUUGAUGAAUAGACGAGAUUGGAUUUGGUCAUUUCCCCAAGGUGAAGAGCAUGGCGAUUUCUUCUGUGGUAAGGAGCAAUAAUGAAGACCAUGGUUGAUUUAAUCAGUCUCUGCUGAUGAAGAUCUUGGCUGUUACCUUUGUGUAAUGAAUGCGCAAUGAUUCAAUUAUUCUCCAGCGAGGAAGAUCAUGGUUGUUGUCUGUUUGAGUAAUGAGUGUAGAAACCUAUAAUGGAGGCGUGAUGGCUGAUGCAAUCAUUUUCCACUGAUGAAGGUUUUGAUGGCCACCUGUAAUGAACAGCCCCAUCUGAUUUAAUCACUGUGCAAUGACCGUGAACUGUACAGUUACCUCCGUGUGUCACAGGAAGACUCUUUUGACUUAAGCACCCUUCCAUGGUCAUGAGGUUUCUGGUUGCCUCUGUGUGUUAGAAGCUUGGAGACCAAUGCCUUCUGCUGUGAUCGCGUUCUCCACAGUUGCCUCUGGGUAGGAGCCUGGACACUAAUAGAAAAUGGAUGCACUUGAGCCGACCUAAGCAUUCAUGGUCAUGAGAUUUGUGGUUGCCACUGUUGGUUAGGAGCAUAGAGAUCAGUAAUGGACACACCUGGGCUGGCAGAACAUCUUGCCUUGAUCUGGAGCCCCAUGUCUGCCCCUCUGUAGAGGUGCACAUGGGCCAAUGAUGGAUGCAAUGAGCUGAUCAUUUUGCUGUGAUCAAGGCUAUGUUGCCUCUGUGUUAGGCCAAUGGUUGAUGUUCAUGGGUGAUUGAUCAUCCUGUAGCGACGGUGGUAUUGACUGUUCCCCAGAGGACAAGGAGUGUGUUCUUAUGUAAGUCAUAGUUGACAUUCUUGUUUUUGAUUGGGUAGUUUGCCUGUUCAUUGAUGUUCAUAGUACUAUAGAAGGUAGAUAAAUGGCCACAUACCUAAAGAAAAUCAAAGGGGACAAAAAGUGAGAGUCUGUUAUAAACUAAGGAUUAUAAUUAAUGUAAUUCAGUACAA